CUCUCGGCCCUGCCCGCCCCCGGCGUCCGGCGCCCGGGGGGCCCCAGCGGGUCGCCUCGGCUGGCGCCUAGCAGCUGGCUUAGAACUGGUGCGGACCGGGGGAAUCCCACUGUUUAAUU